rnacentral:tRNA from 1 species
ACUUGGCUGGCUCAGUUGGCGGAGUGUGUGACUUUUGAUCUCAGGGUUGUGAGUUCAAGUCCCAUGUUGGGUA